UGAGACAACGUACAAACCUUAUCGAUAAACAAUUGGAGGGCAAGUCUGGUGCCAGCAGCCGCGGUAAUUCCAGCUCCAAUAGCGUAUAUUAACGUUGUUGCAGUUAAAAAGCUCGUAGUUGAAAUGAAGGGUAGUUGUGUAAUGAAUACAUUCGUGUAUUUUGUUAUUCAACUACCCUCCUUCUAAAUUCGAUAUAUGAGUAUUAAUUUACUUGUAUAUGGUUUUAGACGUUUACUGUGAGAAAAUUAGAGUGUUCAAAGCAGGCAUUUGCUUGAAUAUAUUAGCAUGGAAUAAUCAUGUAUGAUUUUCAUGAUGUAUUUGAUUGGUUUGGUUCAUGAGAAUAAGAUUAAAAGGGACAGUUGGGGGUAUUCAUAUUCAAUAGUCAGAGGUGAAAUUCUCGGAUUUAUGGAAGAUGAACAAGUGC
rnacentral:rRNA from 1 species